CCUACGGGGUGCAGCAGUGGGGGAUAUUGCACAAUGGGGGGAACCCUGAUGCAGCGACGCCGCGUGGGUGAAGGAGUGCUUCGGUAUGUAAAGCCCUAUCGGCAGGGAAGAAGCAAGACGGUACCUGACUAAGAAGCCCCGGCUAACUACGUGCCAGCAGCCGCGGUAAUACGUAGGGGGCGAGCGUUAUCCGGAUUCACUGGGUGUAAAGGGAGCGUAGACGGCCAAGCAAGCCAGGGGUGAAAGCCCGGGGCCCAACCCCGGGACUGCCCUUGGAACUGCAUGGCUGGAGUGCGGGAGGGGCAGGCGGAAUUCCUGGUGUAGCGGUGAAAUGCGUAGAUAUCAGGAGGAACACCGGCGGCGAAGGCGGCCUGCUGGACCGCGACUGACGUUGAGGCUCGAAAGCGUGGGGAGCGAACAGGAUUAGAUACCCCAGUAGUC
rnacentral:rRNA from 1 species